AUGGCUCAGUGGUAGAGUGCUAGCCUUGAGUGAAAAAGCUAAGCAAGAGCUUGAGACCCUGAGUUCAAGACUCAGU
rnacentral:tRNA from 1 species